UGGAGAGCCCUGAGCAUCCUCUUUGAUGUCACCACUGUUGAGGCAACACCAACUGCCAUUUGGGGCAUUUGUAAAAUGCCUCUGGAGUUCACAAAGAAACGUUGGUGAGACUGAGAAAGCUACUUGAGAGAGAGAAUGGACAGCCUAGAGAAGAGAGAGUGGCAGAAGGAAGCUGGCCAUCUGUCUCAGGAUAAAACAUCAAGAAAUAAAUGUUCCAGGGAAAGGCAGUGUUUCCAUGUCAGAGCGAACCUGCUCUCAGUAAGAACGAGCUCACCUUGACCACUGAGGUCAUCAUGAAGAAGAACAAGUUCCUCUGCUGCCAAGACAGCUUCCUGCAGGACUUAGGGAACCCUGUGGAAGAGGAAGUGAAAAGAGUGCCACAGAAUACUGCAGAUGGCAAGACCAUGGUCCAUCUACUGAGGUGAAGCACAGAUGUGGAGUGGAACCAGACUAACCCUGAGAAGAGCUGCACUGCAUGUGUUGUACAGGGCAGAGCUGGAGAGGGAGGAAUGCCCCAUCCAUUUGGAUUCCAGAAGAUCACAUGAGUAUCAGGUGCUGAACAUUGAACUGUAGGAAUUUGGAUUAAUAAGCUGCAUUUUGGUAUUCUUCCCAUCUAGAAAUUUCUGUGCCCCAGCUCUUCUCUUGUGGAAUAAAAAAAAUCUAAUUUUUUUAGUUUGUUUUACCAGACCCAAUGAGUAGACUUUUGUUUUGUUUGUUUUUUAGAGACCUUGAACUUUUGAAGUGUUGUAAUUUUUAAAGAUUGUGGGAUUUUUAAAACUUACACUGUGUUUUAUAUUAUGAUAUUCACAUAAGAAUUGGGGAACAAGAAAUAAAUGGUUAUGGCAUUCA